CCCUUAGAUGUUCUGGGCCGCACGCGUGCUACACUGAGUGGAUCAGCGGGUCAGGUUGCGCGAAAGCGUUUCCUAAUCUUUAAAUCCGCUCGUGAUGGGGAUUGACGGUUGCAAUUUUCUGUCAUGAACGAGGAAUACCUUGUAAGCGCGGGUCAUCAUCCCGCGCUGAAUACGUCCCUGCCCUUUGUACACACCGCCCGUCGCUCCUACCGAUUGAGUGGUCCGGUGAAGCCUCGGGAUUGUGACGAGUUCCCUUCAUUGGGAGUUGGUCGCGAGAACUUGUCUAAACCUUAUCAUUUAGAGGAAGGUGAAGUCGUAACA
rnacentral:rRNA from 1 species